AGAUUGUUCCUGAGCGUUUCAGUGAUUGUAGAUUGAAGCGGAAAGGAUUAGUAAAAACUGUGCAGGAAUAUCUUACAAAGUGUGAUGCACUUGAAAACAGACUCAAUCAAGAAGUAGAGAAAACAAAGUCGAAGAAUUUAGCAUUAUCAAAAUGACUCACCAUGAUAUUCCAGAACUUUUUUGGGAGAGUGCUCCCCAAGUGAAGUGGAGUGUGUCUUUAAUUAGCAUGCUUUUAGUAGCACAUACGUCAUGUGAAGGAGGGAACUGUUAAAUAUUUUGUUUAAUGCAGACUGCAAGAACUAUAUUUUUUAUGGCACUAAAACUUUUUCCUUUAUAACACAUUUCAGCAUAUUUUACAUUAAUUUGAUGCAUACAUGCACCUGUAUAUUUGUGAAGUAUUAAAAUGCAGUAUAGUUACGUUCUGUAGUACUUCAUUUUACAUAUGUAUUUAUUUUAUUUUGUCCUGUUGUUCCUUAGGGCUGAUGACUGUAUAUACAUCGGCAAUGUUUUUUUUUCCCUACCAUAUGUACUUCCUUCACUUCCAGUCCUCUGUCUGCAUGUAGACUGACCAGUAUGGGGGUGUGCUUGCCAAGAUAACUGUUCAUGGGUCACCAUUUUGAUUAUUUAAAGAAAUAAUUGCAGUAAAUUUAUAAAACCCGUAUUUCUACUGCUUACCUAAAUCAUUUGUGGGCAGAUUUAUAUAGGACUUAAUAAACAAUGUAUGUGAGUACGUUUUAACA